AUUGAACGCUGGCGGAAUGCUUUACACAUGCAAGUCGAACGGCAGCACGGGGCAACCUGGUGGCGAGUGGCGAACGGGUGAGUAAUACAUCGGAACGUGCCCAAUCGUGGGGGAUAACGUAGCGAAAGUUACGCUAAUACCGCAUACGAUCUACGGAUGAAAGCGGGGGAUCGCAAGACCUCGCGCGAAUGGAGCGGCCGAUGUCAGAUUAGGUAGUUGGUGAGGUAAGGCUCACCAAGGCGACGAUCCGUAGCUGGUCUGAGAGGACGACCAGCCACACUGGAACUGAGACACGGUCCAGACUCCUACGGGAGGCAGCAGUGGGGAAUUUGGACAAUGGGCGCAAGCCUGAUCCAGCCAUUCCGCGUGAGUGAAGAAGGCCU
rnacentral:rRNA from 1 species